AUGAAGGGGGGGAGGGGGAUCAGGAGGGAGCCUUCCUUGAGUCCUGUCACUGAGGUUGGCAGGCAACCAGCAGAGACUGUCACUGCACACGGCCAAGAAAGCAAAUAAGCGUAUUUCUCAAAAUGUGAAACUAUUCCUUUAAAUAUCUUUAUUCCUGAGGUUACAUAAUUUUAUUACAGCAAAAGUACUCAAUAAAGUGAAUAUUACAGUACAGUUUGUAUGAAAACAUGUACGAAUUGUAUAUAAACAAUUAUCUGUAUGCAUAUGUUUGUGCGUGUGUGUUAAUGUAUGUGUGAUUACGUGUGUUUAGAUUCGCUGGCUCCCACCUGCAGAUGGAACUCCUCAGGGAUGGAAGUCCAGGCAGUUCUGCUGAAGUAUGUGUUCUUGAUGUGUGAUGGUGGCCGUGGCCAGCUGUGACGGGCGUUGCCUCUCGUGUCCAAUUAGAAACCAGGAGGACUGACCUGACUCCGGCUGUUGGAGCAGCGUACCGUCGGUGAGUUUAACGGCCCGGACUUUGUGACCAUUGAAUCCAACAGGCGAGG